CUGCCCUGUACCUAGAAGGAAGGAAUGUUGCACAGAAAGGCCAAGAGGAAUCUAGACAGGCAGACCCUGCUGUCUCCCCACUCAGUCUGUUAUUGUUAUCAGAAAGGGGCCCCAAUCUAGACCCCAAAAGAGGGUUCUUGGAUCUCGCCCAAGAAGGAAUUCAGGCAAAAUGUGAAAAGAAAGAGAUCAUCUAAAGGAAGGACUUAAAAAAAAAUCCGGAACUUGCAAGUUUUGAAAAUUCCCAGCUUCCCCAGAUGGCAAAUGAUGCUACUGUGAAAAAAUGGCUUCCAGGCAAGGAAAAACUCCAGGACAUUCCCAGCAAAACAUCAUCAAAUGAUGAAGAAUGGUGCUUCAAUUCAUGUUUCAAAAGCAGACACAGAAAUAAUUUCCAGAGAAAUGAGCUGGGGGAAAACAGAAAUGUGUAUGGAAUUGGAACAAAAUAAACCUGAUUUUUUUCAACAUUGUAUAGAA
ensembl:lncRNA novel transcript